rnacentral:misc_RNA from 1 species
CGACCACCAGCUUCUUCCGAUCCUAUCCUCCAAUUUUCUCUUCCAAAGCUCCAAUCCCAAAGAACAAGACAGUUGUUGCCGGUGAGAUCGACUGGCCGGUCAGUGCGUCGGCGGCGAGGAGGGGUCGUCCGGCGACGGGACCAUGCCGCCGUGGGUGUUGGUGUUGGCAGUGGGGGGCCCGUAGUCCGUCGUCGUGUACGCCAUCAUCGCCUCCGGAAGCAGGCGGCCGCCGCCGAGGGGCGCGCGCCGCACCUGCACCUUCCGCGCUUCCACCAGCCCUGCGCUCCAUCACAACCCAACACAGCGACGGCAUCACUUAUACGGAAUCGGAAGAGCAGGCAGCAGCGCUAGCUAGCCUGGCCGGGCGCGCGGCGGCCGCGUCAACCUUACCUUGCGAGCAGGAGAGCACGAGGAG